GAUGAACGCUGGCGGCGUGCCUAAUACAUGCAAGUCGAGCGAACAGAUGAGGAGCUUGCUCCUCUGACGUUAGCGGCGGACGGGUGAGUAACACGUGGAUAACCUACCUAUAAGACUGGGAUAACUUCGGGAAACCGGAGCUAAUACCGGAUAAUAUAUUGAACCGCAUGGUUCAAUAGUGAAAGACGGUUUUGCUGUCACUUAUAGAUGGAUCCGCGCCGCAUUAGCUAGUUGGUAAGGUAACGGCUUACCAAGGCAACGAUGCGUAGCCGACCUGAGAGGGUGUUCGGCCACACUGGAACUGAGACACGGUCCAGACUCCUACGGGAGGCAGCAGUAGGGAAUCUUCCGCAAUGGGCGAAAGCUUGACGGAGCAACGCCGCGUGAGUGAUGAAGGUCUUCGGAUCGUAAAACUCUGUUAUUAGGGAAGAACAAAUGUGUAAGUAACUAUGCACGUCUUGACGGUACCUAAUCAGAAAGCCACGGCUAACUACGUG
rnacentral:rRNA from 1 species